ACGAACGCUGGCGGCGUGCUUAACCCAUGCAAGUCGAACGGAAAGGCCCUGCUUUUGUGGGGUGCUCGAGUGGCGAACGGGUGAGUAACACGUGAGUAACCUGCCCUUGACUUUGGGAUAACUUCAGGAAACUGGGGCUAAUACCGGAUAGGAGCUCCUGCUGCAUGGUGGGGGUUGGAAAGUUUCGGCGGUUGGGGAUGGACUCGCGGCUUAUCAGCUUGUUGGUGGGGUAGUGGCUUACCAAGGCUUUGACGGGUAGCCGGCCUGAGAGGGUGACCGGCCACAUUGGGACUGCGGUACGGCCCAGACUCCUACGGGAGGCAGAAGUGGGGAAUAUUGCACAAUGGGCGGAAGCCUGAUGCAGCAACGCCGCGUGCGGGAUGACGGCCUUCGGGUUGUAAACCGCUUUCGCCUGUGACGAAGCGUGAGUGACGGUAAUGGGUAAAGAAGCACCGGCUAACUACGUG
rnacentral:rRNA from 1 species